rnacentral:rRNA from 1 species
CAGGGUAUAGACCCGAAACCCGGUGAUCUAGCCAUGGGCAGGUUGAAGGUUGGGUAACACUAACUGGAGGACCGAACCGACUAAUGUUGAAAAAUUAGCGGAUGACCUGUGGCUGGGGGUGAAAGGCCAAUCAAACCGGGAGAUAGCUGGUUCUCCCCGAAAGCUAUUUAGGUAGCGCCUCGUGAAUUCAUCUCCGGGGGUAGAGCACUGUUUCGGCUAGGGGGCCAUCCCGGCUUACCAACCCGAUGCAAACUGCGAAUACCGGAGAAUGUUAUCACGGGAGACACACGGCGGGUGCUAACGUCCGUCGUGAAGAGGGAAACAACCCAGACCGCCAGCUAAGGUCCCAAAGUCAUGGUUAAGUGGGAAACGAUGUGGGAAGGCCCAGACAGCCAGGAUGUUGGCUUAGAAGCAGCCAUCAUUUAAAGAAAGCGUAAUAGCUCACUGGUCGAGUCGGCCUGCGCGGAAGAUGUAACGGGGCUAAACCAUG